rnacentral:lncRNA from 1 species
AAGCUUCAAGUAGCCUUCCAGCUUUCUGUCUUUCAGCUCUAUAGAGACAAACCAUCUGAGCUAGCUAUAUCAGCUCCUGGUGCACACCUGGAGAUGUUUUAAAGCAAAAGGGAGUGAUUGAAAACAGCUGGAAAGUAACUGAAUAAGAAGAAAAAUCUCUGAAUUAGAAGUCAACUUCUGGUUUAAGGAUGUGAAUCAGAAACUACUAUCUAUUUAAGCUUCAGAAGAUUAGCUUGUGGUAGGCAAAGUUGGCUUUAGAGAUAUAUAGUCUGAAUCUGUGGCUGCUUAAUGGUUUAAUGGAGAACAUCAAUAUCAGAGAGCGGCUGAGUCUGUCACAAUGCUCUUCCUUGGUAUCUGAGCACCGGGGACCUCCUGCAUGCUUCUCGCUGGAUAUGUCAGUGUGCUGUGGUUGACUUGAAAAUGAAAUUGGAAGAGCUGCUCAUGUGCAACUGAAGCUGGCUUGGAGGAGCAAUGCAACAUCAAGGAGCAGACACGAGCCUCCAAACCUUGGCAUGGACAGCACGUGGAGUUGGUGUGGGACAGAGAUGGCAGGGACAGCAUUCUUUCCACUAACCAACUCUGCAGAGCAGAAGGGGAAAACAGUGCUGUGAACUUGCUGGAACGAGGCGAAGUGUGAGUGGAAGCUCUGACUUACCAUUUCAGUGAGCCGCAGUGCGUGGUGGAAAGGCUGUCUUACCGUCUACAAACACCUUUCGCGUGAAAGCAUGUCUUCAAGACAGCUCUGAACACGUUGGGACUGCUGGGAGGGACGAAUUGAUAAACGGGUUGGUGAAUCACAGAAAUCAGUUCUAACCUCACAAUAGGUGCUGGGAGGGUGGGGGUGUAACGGGGCCCUAUCUCACAAAGCAGAGGCCAGCAGCCAACCGGCAGUUCAUCUGCCCACUUAAUCUGAGCAAGGCCUAAGGAUG